GACAGAGGUGGCGAGCGUUGUUCGGAAUUACUGGGCUUAAAGGGCGCGUAGGCGGUGAUAUAAGUCUGGGGUGGAAUCUCACAGCUUAACUGUGGAACUGCCCUGGAAACUGUAUUGCUUGAGUCGGACAGGGGAAGGCGGAAUUCCAGGUGUAGCGGUGAAAUGCGUAGAUAUCUGGAGGAAGGCCUGUGGUGAAGACGGCCUUCUGGGUCUUGACUGACGCUGAGGCGCGAAAGCGUGGGUAGCAAACAGG
rnacentral:rRNA from 1 species